GGCGAAUGAAGCGGGAACAGCUCAAAUUUGAAAUCUCCGUUGCCUGCAACGGCGAAUUGUAGUUUCGAGAAGCACUUUCUCGGCGGACCCGGGGCCGUCCAAGUUGCUUGGAACAGCACGUCAUAGAGGGUGACAACCCCGUCUGUGGCGGAACCGGCCGCUCACGAUUUGCUUUCGACGAGUCGGGUUGUUUGGGAAUGCAGCCCAAAAUGGGUGGUAAACUCCAUCUAAAGCUAAAUAUUGGCACGAGACCGAUAGCGAACAAGUACCGUGAGGGAAAGAUGAAAAGCACUUUGAAAAGAGAGUUAAAAAGUACGUGAAACCGUUAAAAGGGAAACGAAUGGGGUUAGCAAUGCGCUCCGCGAGAUUCAGCCGGUCGACGGGCUGGGCGGGCGGUUUGCGGAUCCGAAUGGACCGCGGCCGUCCGGUUUGGCACUUCGACCGUCGCACUUCUCGCGAGCGCGCGCCAACGUCGGUUGGGACUGGGUCUCAAAGGCGCCGGCAAGGUAGGUUCUGUGCCUCUCGGGGUCGGAACUGUUUAUAGGCCGGCGUUUUCCAUGGCCCGGGCUCGACCGAGGAGCCGCGGCGCAUGCCUCUUUUGGCUGGGGUCCCGUCGUCCCGGUCGGUAGUCGACCGUGGUGGACUGCAUGCAGUGCGCCACGACUGCUGCCGGUCGCGGCGGCGGUGACCUCACACCAUGCGCCCAGGACGUUGGCGGUCACAUGGCCUCAUCCGACCCGUCUUGAAACACGGACCAAGGAGUCUAACAUGUGCGCGAGUCUUCGAGUGAUCGAAACUCCCAGGCAGAAUGAAAGUGAAGGUGGCUUCGGCCGCUGAGGUGAGAACCUUCCCCUUCGGGGAGGGCGCAUCAUCGACCGACCUAUUCUACUCUUAGGAAGGUUUGAGUAA
rnacentral:rRNA from 1 species